rnacentral:rRNA from 1 species
UACAGGGGGUGCAAACGUUGCUCGGAAUCAUUGGGCGUAAAGCGCGCGUAGGUGGCUUCGUAAGUCCGUUGUGAAAGUCAAAGGCUCAACCUUUGAAAGCCGAUGGAUACUGCGAAGCUAGAGUACGGAAGAGGCGAGUGGAAUUCCUGGUGUAGCGGUGGAAUGCGCAGAUAUCAGGAGGAACACCAAUAGCGAAGGCAGCUCGCUGGGACGUUACUGACACUGAGGCGCGAAAGCGUGGGGAGCGAACAGG